UACGUAUGGUGCAAGCGUUAUCCGGAUUUACUGGGUGUAAAGGGAGCGCAGGCGGCACGGCAAGCCUGAUGUGAAAGCCUUCGGCUUAACCGGAGUAGUGCAUUGGAAACUGGGAGACUUGAGUGCAGAAGAGGAGAGUGGAACUCCAUGUGUAGCGGUGAAAUGCGUAGAUAUAUGGAGGAACACCGGUGGCGAAAGCGGCUCUCUGGCCUGUAACUGACACUGAGGCUCGAAAGCGUGGGGAGCAAACAGG
rnacentral:rRNA from 1 species